UACGGAGGGUGCGAGCGUUAUCCGGAUUCACUGGGUUUAAAGGGUGCGUAGGUGGGCAGGUAAGUCAGUGGUGAAAUCUCCGGGCUUAACCCGGAAACUGCCAUUGAUACUAUCAGUCUUGAAUACCGUGGAGGUAAGCGGAAUAUGUCAUGUAGCGGUGAAAUGCUUAGAUAUGACAUAGAACACCAAUUGCGAAGGCAGCUUACUACCCGAAUAUUGACACUGAGGCACGAAAGCGUGGGGAGCAAACAGG
rnacentral:rRNA from 1 species